AAUCCAUGAUGAGGACACUUGUGUAACAGAUCCUUGAACAGUUCAUGUGCCUCAAAGAGUGUUUCAGAGUCCUCUUACCUGAAAGAUGAAAUCUCAUGUCUCAGUCU